GAUGAACGCUAGCUACAGGCUUAACACAUGCAAGUCGAGGGGCAGCAUUUCAGUUUGCUUGCAAACUGGAGAUGGCGACCGGCGCACGGGUGAGUAACACGUAUCCAACCUGCCGAUAACUCGGGGAUAGCCUUUCGAAAGAAAGAUUAAUACCCGAUGGUAUAAUCAGACCGCAUGGUCUUGUUAUUAAAGAAUUUCGGUUAUCGAUGGGGAUGCGUUCCAUUAGGCAGUUGGUGAGGUAACGGCUCACCAAACCUUCGAUGGAUAGGGGUCCUGAGAGGAAGGUCCCCCACAUUGGAACUGAGACACGGUCCAAACUCCUACGGGAGGCAGCAGUGAGGAAUAUUGGUCAAUAGGCGCAGGCCUGAACCAGCCAAGUAGCGUGAAGGAUGACUGCCCUAUGGGUUGUAAACUUCUUUUAUAUGGGAAUAAAGUUUUCCACGUGUGGAAUUUUGUAUGUACCAUAUGAAUAAGGAUCGGCUAACUCCGUGCCAGCAGCCGCGGUAAUACGGAGGAUCCGAGCGUUAUCCGGAUUUAUUGGGUUUAAAGGGAGCGUAGGUGGACAGUUAAGUCAGUUGUGAAAGUUUGCGGCUCAACCGUAAAAUUGCAGUUGAUACUGGCUGUCUUGAGUACAGUAGAGGUGGGCGGAAUUCGUGGUGUAGCGGUGAAAUGCUUAGAUAUCACGAAGAACUCCGAUUGCGAAGGCAGCUCACUGGACUGCAACUGACACUGAUGCUCGAAAGUGUGGGUAUCAAACAGGAUUAGAUACCCUGGUAGUCCACACAGUAAACGAUGAAUACUCGCUGUUUGCGAUAUACAGUAAGCGGCCAAGCGAAAGCAUUAAGUAUUCCACCUGGGGAGUACGCCGGCAACGGUGAAACUCAAAGGAAUUGACGGGGGCCCGCACAAGCGGAGGAACAUGUGGUUUAAUUCGAUGAUACGCGAGGAACCUUACCCGGGCUUAAAUUGCAUUUGAAUAUAUUGGAAACAGUAUAGCCGUAAGGCAAAUGUGAAGGUGCUGCAUGGUUGUCGUCAGCUCGUGCCGUGAGGUGUCGGCUUAAGUGCCAUAACGAGCGCAACCCUUAUCUUUAGUUACUAACAGGUCAUGCUGAGGACUCUAGAGAGACUGCCGUCGUAAGAUGUGAGGAAGGUGGGGAUGACGUCAAAUCAGCACGGCCCUUACGUCCGGGGCUACACACGUGUUACAAUGGGGGGUACAGAAGGCAGCUACCUGGUGACAGGAUGCUAAUCCCAAAAGCCUCUCUCAGUUCGGAUCGAAGUCUGCAACCCGACUUCGUGAAGCUGGAUUCGCUAGUAAUCGCGCAUCAGCCAUGGCGCGGUGAAUACGUUCCCGGGCCU
rnacentral:rRNA from 1 species